AUGGCGGAUGCAAAACUGCCAGAUGCGCAGUCGGGUUAUGAAAAAGGUUAUACCGUCACGUUGGCUGCGCACUCGGGAGCUAAUAUGAUCUAUGAGUCAG
rfam:Chromatiales bacterium (ex Bugula neritina AB1) isolate AB1-2 AB833_contig000114, whole genome shotgun sequence.